rnacentral:rRNA from 1 species
UACGUAUGGUGCAAGCGUUAUCCGGAUUUACUGGGUGUAAAGGGAGCGUAGACGGACUUGCAAGUCUGAAGUGAAAGCCCGGGGCUCAACCCCGGGACUGCUUUGGAAACUGUAGGUCUAGAGUGCUGGAGAGGUAAGUGGAAUUCCUAGUGUAGCGGUGAAAUGCGUAGAUAUUAGGAGGAACACCAGUGGCGAAGGCGGCUUACUGGACAGUAACUGACGUUGAGGCUCGAAAGCGUGGGGAGCAAACAGG